rnacentral:rRNA from 1 species
AUUGAACGCUGGCGGCAGGCCUAACACAUGCAAGUCGAACGAGUGGCGGACGGGUGAGUCAUGUCUGUGAAACUGCCCGAUGGAGGGGGAUAACUAAAGGAGACGGUAGAUAAUACCGCAUACCAUCGGAUGUGCCCAGAUGGGAUUAGCUUGUAGGUGAGGUAACGGCGCAACUAGGCGACGAUCCCUAGCUGGUCUGAGAGGAUGAACAGCCACACUGGAAAUGAGACACGGUCCAGAAUCCUACGGGAGGCAGCAGUGGGGAAUAUUGGACAAUGGGCGCAAUCCUGAUGCAGCCAUGCCGCGUGUAUGAAGAAGGCCUUCGGGUUGUAAAGUACUUUCAGCGGGGAGGCGUUACCCGCAGAAGAAGCACCGGCUAACUCCGUGCCAGCAGCCGCGGUAAUUC